rnacentral:rRNA from 1 species
UACGUAGGGUGCAAGCGUUGUCCGGAAUUAUUGGGCGUAAAGAGCUCGUAGGCGGUUCGGCAAGUCAGCUGUGAAAUCUCCACGCUCAACGUGGAGGGGUCAGCUGAUACUGCUGUGACUUGAGUCCGGUAGGGGAGUGUGGAAUUCCCGGUGUAGCGGUGAAAUGCGCAGAUAUCGGGAGGAACACCAGUAGCGAAGGCGGCACUCUGGGCCGGUACUGACGCUGAGGAGCGAAAGCGUGGGAGCAAACAGGG